GCUACACUCAUCUGAAUGUCUGUGUUUCUUCAGCGAAAGUUGUCAAAUUCUCCUAUUCACAAUCUCAGUGUCGCCUACCCAGUCUGGUUACUGAGUCACAGCUGUCUUGCCUCGCAAUAACUUACCAUAUAGCUUAGCUUCAGUUAGCUUAGCUUAGCUCUUCUGCCCUUAGCUCUGCUGUGUUAGCCUCGUGGGAACUGUGCAGACGUAGCUAGGUUAGCUUAGCAUAGUUGAUCUCAUCUGAAUUCGGCUGCCCCUCCAUACUACGGACCCACCUUGCGGGGUCCAGCUCCCUGUACCAGCACCCCAGCAACACACUGAGCAGCCCCCAGGUGAGCGAGGUGAGGAGGAGGAGGAGUGUGGUGCUGCACCUCUGUAGGGGCCGGGGUCUGUACAUGGUUAGGGGCAGCGCCAGAGAGCUCUUUCUGGGAGAGACACACACAUGGUGCCAGGGUUAGGGUGGGUAGGAACUUAAGGUGGGCCUUCAAGGUGGUUUGAUGUCGCGUUGUGUUAAGCUUCUGUCUCAGAGCGCUAAGGAAGUCUAAGGUCAUGAGUCAUCAUGGUUUGAUAGCCCCACUACCUCCUUCCUGUGGCCAUUUGCUGACUAUGUUCAAGACAAGUGAUAUCAAUUACGGUUUCGAGUUCAAUGUAGCUAAAUAAAAACAUGGAGACCGAAAAAAUCCAUGUGAAUCUCCAAAGGUUUCCGUCCAGUUUCCUAUCCACGUCCUACUCUGUCUCCUUGUCCUCUCUCGUUUUUCUCUCAGAGGGGAGGGAAGAUGAAGAGGAUGGUAGAGGGAGGACAAGACGUGUGUGUGGGAGAGAGGGCAUGCCACAGAAACAGAAGACACAUCACUUUCUUACGUAAAGCCCAACAAGGUCUUCGGAGAGCUGGGAGAGUGGAGAGGAGGAAAAAGCACUCAUGAACUUUUCGUGUGCCUGUAGGAGUGCAGUUGACUAGGAACACCCAAUGCUGAAGAGGAAAACGUGUGUUUGUGUGUGUGUGUGUGUGUGUAGGGGGGGGGCAGUGUGUUACCUGCUGUCGUAGGUGUUGGAGUUGCGGUCAAACUUAUAGGUGGGUUUGAACCUGAGAGGCCCUUCCUCAAACUCCUGUAGAAACGGCUCCUUCUUCCUCAUCAUCAGUAACUACAACCACACAAGGACAGCAUAGUCAGUGUUUGUGUCUCAGCAGGUUUGUGUGUGUGUGUGCGUCUGUGUGUGUGUGUUACCUGGUCCUUCGCCCACAGCAGGUUAUAGCGUUCGCUGUUGAUGGAUGAACGGAGGAAGUGCAUACCAUGGUCCUCAAUGCGGAAGUUCAGAUCACCGAACCAGAAGACCACCCUGUCACAGAGGUAGCUGGCAGACGUCUGUGGGGGGCUGGACAUCCAGCUGCAGAAGGGAAAUGACGUCACGCGGGGGUUCUGCUGUCGCCACAUUCCACGUGACCAUGUGCAACCUGUCAGAAUGGAGCAAAGACAAGGAACAUUCCUUCUGUACUGCAGACCAAGGUGGCACAGGACCAGAGAGGAAGGAAGGAAGGAAGGAAGGAAGGAAGGAAGGGGAAACACAGAGACAGUUAGGAAAGUACCUCAGACAGGUCCCACAACCAGCGUCCUUGGGGGUGAAGCGUCCACAUAGCUGGAAGGCCUCGUCCAGGGUGCGAGACACUUCCUCGUUGGCCUCGUCGUCGGAGCUCAGGUCCUCCACGCACGUGAGCAGCUGGGACAGACGCUGGCGCAGGAGCAGCUUGCCCUUUGACCCCUGGGACGCCGUGCUGGACGUGCUGUCAGAACGCGCGCGGAGGCCGUCCAACGACGACAACGCAUCCGGCGCCAUCUUUACCGCCUCGGCCAUGGUUGGAUUUGUAACUCUCCUCAGAAGGACUGUCGAGGUCUCUGUUCUCUCUCU